rnacentral:rRNA from 1 species
AGUGAACGCUGGCGGCGUGCUUAACACAUGCAAGUCGAACGAGAACGGAAUAUAGCUUGCUAUAUUUGUCAGCUAAGUGGCGCACGGGUGAGUAAUGUAUAGAUAACCUGCCCUUAAGAAAGGAAUAACAGUUGGAAACGACUGCUAAUGCCCUAUAUGCCUUUAAUACAUAAGUAUGCAAGGGAAACGCUUUAGUGCUUAAGGAUGGGUCUGUAUGGUAUCAGCUUGUUGGUGAGGUAAUGGCUCACCAAGGCUAUGACGCCUAACUGGUUUGAGAGGAUGAUCAGUCAAACUGGAACUGAGACACGGUCCAGACUCCUACGGGAGGCAGCAGUGGGGGAUAUUGCACAAUGGACGAAAGUCUGAUGCAGCAACGCCGCGUGGAGGAUGACACAUUUCGGUGCGUAAACUCCUUUUAUAUAGGAAGAUAAUGACGGUACUAUAUGAAUAAGCACCGGCUAACUCCGUGCCAGCAGCCGCGGUAA